CCUACGGGAGGCAGCAGUGGGGGAUAUUGCACAAUGGGGGGAACCCUGAUGCAGCGACGCCGCGUGGGUGAAGAAGCGCCUCGGCGCGUAAAGCCCUGUCAGCAGGGAAGAAAAUGACGGUACCUGAAGAAGAAGCCCCGGCUAACUACGUGCCAGCAGCCGCGGUAAUACGUAGGGGGCAAGCGUUAUCCGGAUUUACUGGGUGUAAAGGGGGCGCAGACGGGGAUGCAAGCCAGGAGUGAAAGCCCGGGGCCGAGCCCCGGGACUGCUCGUGGAACUGCGUGGCUGGAGUGCAGGAGGGGUAUGCGGGAUGCGGGGGGUAGCGGUGAAAUGCAUAGAGA
rnacentral:rRNA from 1 species